CAUGGAUCUCAUGUGCAAGAAAAUGAAGCACCUGUGGUUCUUCCUCCUGCUGGUGGCGGCUCCCAGAUGGGUCCUGUCCCAGCUGCAGCUGCAGGAGUCGGGCCCAGGACUGGUGAAGCCUUCGGAGACCCUGUCCCUCACCUGCACUGUCUCUGGUGGCUCCAUCAGCAGUAGUAGUUACUACUGGGGCUGGAUCCGCCAGCCCCCAGGGAAGGGGCUGGAGUGGAUUGGGAGUAUCUAUUAUAGUGGGAGCACCUACUACAACCCGUCCCUCAAGAGUCGAGUCACCAUAUCCGUAGACACGUCCAAGAACCAGUUCUCCCUGAAGCUGAGCUCUGUGACCGCCGCAGACACGGCUGUGUAUUACUGUGCGAGACACACAGUGAGGGGAGGUGAGUCUCUGUCCCACACCGCAGUCACAUGGCGCCAUCUCUCUUGCAGCUUCCACCAAGGGCCCAUCGGUCUUCCCCCUGGCGCCCUGCUCCAGGAGCACCUCUGGGGGCACAGCGGCCCUGGGCUGCCUGGUCAAGGACUACUUCCCAGAACCGGUGACGGUGUCGUGGAACUCAGGCGCCCUGACCAGCGGCGUGCACACCUUCCCGGCUGUCCUACAGUCCUCAGGACUCUACUCCCUCAGCAGCGUGGUGACCGUGCCCUCCAGCAGCUUGGGCACCCAGACCUACACCUGCAACGUGAAUCACAAGCCCAGCAACACCAAGGUGGACAAGAGAGUUGAGCUCAAAACCCCACUUGGUGACACAACUCACACAUGCCCACGGUGCCCAGAGCCCAAAUCUUGUGACACACCUCCCCCGUGCCCACGGUGCCCAGAGCCCAAAUCUUGUGACACACCUCCCCCAUGCCCACGGUGCCCAGCACCUGAACUCCUGGGAGGACCGUCAGUCUUCCUCUUCCCCC
rnacentral:lncRNA from 1 species